UACGUAGGUGGCAAGCGUUGUCCGGAAUUAUUGGGCGUAAAGCGCGCGCAGGCGGUCCUUUAAGUCUGAUGUGAAAGCCCACGGCUCAACCGUGGAGGGUCAUUGGAAACUGGGGGACUUGAGUGCAGAAGAGGAAAGCGGAAUUCCACGUGUAGCGGUGAAAUGCGUAGAGAUGUGGAGGAACACCAGUGGCGAAGGCGGCUUUCUGGUCUCGUAACUGACGCUGGAGGCGACGAAGGCAGUGGGGA
rnacentral:rRNA from 1 species